GUUGCCGAAUGCCCGUCGUCGUCUCUCGUGGCGACGACGGCGGUGGCGUAACGCGUUAAUGAAAAUGGCAACGCGCCGGCGACGCCAUGCGGCAAAAGCCUCGACGAAAACUACGUAUACGCUCGCAAAUUGUACAGCUUUAUCAAUCUGAAAUAACAGCGACACGAGGAAACAAUAUGAGCGACAAUACGAGACUCACCAGCGUUCGGCCGAUCAGCGGGAGGAUCACGUUGCGAUGCGGUUGACACGUAUGUAUAGAUGGGGACAGAUUCCAAAAUUAUAUCGCGAUCGAAAGAUUUUAUAGAGUAUCGUUGAUAAAGUGCAACAUGUUUUCAAUGUGCAAGCAGAGGAUAAUGAAAGCAUUAGUUGCAAAGCAAAUGCUAAUAGCACACACAGCAAGUUAAAAAAUACACAGGAAAUUUCCCAGAGAAUCUUAAUAAGAGACAAAAAAUGUCUUUGGAAAAAAUAUGAUAUAUUUUUAUUAUUGUUUCAAAACUGGCUGGCUAUAUUAAUAAAAUUAUAUUAGGAAAAAGACAUAUUUAAAGAUGAUAUUGGAUGAAAGUAAUAUUUUGCUUAAUGGAAACACAUUCUAUCUGUUAUAUACAUAUUCAUGCAAAUAAUUUAAUAAUUUUUUUAAAAUUGUAAAGAGAAAAACUAUCAUAACCUCUUCUGAGUUCAUUUAACUUCUAAAGAACUCAUUUUUUAUAUAAUUAGAAAUAAACGAUUUUUCUUAUAUAAAAAUUAUUUUGCCCGAAAUAGUUUGUGAUUGUAUGAUAAAGCAGUAAAAAAAAAAAAUAAAAUAGGUGUAAAACUCCGGAGUAUUGAGUUUUGUUUUAUUAUUUUCCUACGAAAAAGCGAUAUUCCCCUCACUCCCCCAAUUUGCUUGGUAGAUAUUACU